rnacentral:rRNA from 2 species
ACUAACUGGAGGACCGAACCGACUAAUGUUGAAAAAUUAGCGGAUGACCUGUGGCUGGGGGUGAAAGGCCAAUCAAACCGGGAGAUAGCUGGUUCUCCCCGAAAGCUAUUUAGGUAGCGCCUCGUGAAUUCAUCUCCGGGGGUAGAGCACUGUUUCGGCUAGGGGGCCAUCCCGGCUUACCAACCCGAUGCAAACUGCGAAUACCGGAGAAUGUUAUCACGGGAGACACACGGCGGGUGCUAACGUCCGUCGUGAAGAGGGAAACAACCCAGACCGCCAGCUAAGGUCCCAAAGUCAUGGUUAAGUGGGAAACGAUGUGGGAAGGCCCAGACAGCCAGGAUGUUGGCUUAGAAGCAGCCAUCAUUUAAAGAAAGCGUAAUAGCUCACUGGUCGAGUCGGCCUGCGCGGAAGAUGUAACGGGGCUAAACCAUGCACCGAAGCUGCGGCAGCGACACUGUGUGUUGUUGGGUAGGGGAGCGUUCUGUAAGCCUGUGAAGGUGUGUCGUGAGGCAUGCUGGAGGUAUCAGAAGUGCGAAUGCUGACAUAAGUAACGAUAAAGCGGGUGAAAAGCCCGCUCGCCGGAAGACCAAGGGUUCCUGUCCAACGUUAAUCGGGGCAGGGUGAGUCGACCCCUAAGGCGAGGCCGAAAGGCGUAGUCGAUGGGAAACGGGUUAAUAUUCCCGUACUUGGUGUUACUGCGAAGGGGGGACGGAGAAGGCUAUGUUGGCCGGGCGACGGUUGUCCCGGUUUAAGCGUGUAGGUGUGUGUUCCAGGUAAAUCCGGUUCACUUUAACACUGAGGCGUGACGACGAGGCACUACGGUGCUGAAGCAACAAAUGCCCUGCUUCCAGGAAAAGCCUCUAAGCAUCAGGUAACAUCAAAUCGUACCCCAAACCGACACAGGUGGUCAGGUAGAGAAUACCAAGGCGCUUGAGAGAACUCGGGUGAAGGAACUAGGCAAAAUGGUGCCGUAACUUCGGGAGAAGGCACGCUGACACGUAGGUGAAGUGAUUUACUCAUGGAGCUGAAGUCAGUCGAAGAUACCAGCUGGCUGCAACUGUUUAUUAAAAACACAGCACUGUGCAAACACGAAAGUGGACGUAUACGGUGUGACGCCUGCCCGGUGCCGGAAGGUUAAUUGAUGGGGUCAGCGCAAGCGAAGCUCCUGAUCGAAGCCCCGGUAAACGGCGGCCGUAACUAUAACGGUCCUAAGGUAGCGAAAUUCCUUGUCGGGUAAGUUCCGACCUGCACGAAUGGCGUAAUGAUGGCCAGGCUGUCUCCACCCGAGACUCAGUGAAAUUGAACUCGCUGUGAAGAUGCAGUGUACCCGCGGCAAGACGGAAAGACCCCGUGAACCUUUACUAUAGCUUGACACUGAACAUUGAGCCUUGAUGUGUAGGAUAGGUGGGAGGCUUUGAAGUGUGGACGCCAGUCUGCAUGGAGCCGACCUUGAAAUACCACCCUUUAAUGUUUGAUGUUCUAACGUGGACCCGUUACCCGGGUUGCGGACAGUGUCUGGUGGGUAGUUUGACUGGGGCGGUCUCCUCCUAAAGAGUAACGGAGGAGCACGAAGGUUGGCUAAUCCUGGUCGGACAUCAGGAGGUUAGUGCAAUGGCAUAAGCCAGCUUGACUGCGAGCGUGACGGCGCGAGCAGGUGCGAAAGCAGGUCAUAGUGAUCCGGUGGUUCUGAAUGGAAGGGCCAUCGCUCAACGGAUAAAAGGUACUCCGGGGAUAACAGGCUGAUACCGCCCAAGAGUUCAUAUCGACGGCGGUGUUUGGCACCUCGAUGUCGGCUCAUCACAUCCUGGGGCUGAAGUAGGUCCCAAGGGUAUGGCUGUUCGCCAUUUAAAGUGGUACGCGAGCUGGGUUUAGAACGUCGUGAGACAGUUCGGUCCCUAUCUGCCGUGGGCGCUGGAGAACUGAGGGGGGCUGCUCCUAGUACGAGAGGACCGGAGUGGACGCAUCACUGGUGUUCGGGUUGUCAUGCCAAUGGCACUGCCCGGUAGCUAAAUGCGGAAGAGAUAAGUGCUGAAAGCAUCUAAGCACGAAACUUGCCCCGAG